GACGAACGCUGGCGGCGUGCUUAACACAUGCAAGUCGAACGGAAAGGCCUGCUUUCCCUUGUGGAUUGCGGGUACUCGAGUGGCGAACGGGUGAGUAACACGUGAGUGAUCUGCCCCCAACUUGGGUAUAAGCCUGGGAAACUGGGUCUAAUUCCCGAUAGGACUGCAGGGUGGUGCCUGUGGUGGAAAACGAUUUUCUAGUGGUUGGGGAUGAGCUCGCGGCCUAUCAGCUUGUUGGUGGGGUAAUGGCCUACCAAGGCGGCGACGGGUAGCCGGCCUGAGAGGGUGGACGGCCACAUUGGGACUGAGGUACGGCCCAGACUCCUACGGGAGGCAGCAGUGGGGAAUAGUGCACAAUGGGCGGAAGCCUGAUGCAGCGACGCCGCGUGGGGGAUGACGGCCUUCGGGUUGUAAACUCCUUUCGACCGCGAGGAAGCCACCUGGUUGGAAGGGUGGUGACGGUAGUGGUAGAAGAAGCACCGGCUAACUACGUG
rnacentral:rRNA from 1 species